GCUGCGCCGGCACCCACGACUGUUAAGCCCCCUCGCCUUGGGCCUGGCCGGAGUGCUGAGGGCCAGCCCGAAGCCCAGCCUGCGCUGGAGGCCAAGUCAGAGCCACAACCUCCGCGAGACACCGAGGAAGAUCCCGGGAGACCUGAGGCUGCCGAUGCGGCCGUGUUCCAGAUAGAAAGUGCGGUCUGAGGGCUGGUGCCGCCGGCCUCCCCCGUGCCUAUGCCUGGUCCCACAGUAAAUCUUCCUCUCCGAAUGCAGCAUUCCCACCCAAAUAAGGAGUGAAUCCUGCAUCCACAGUCCAGCUCUGGCCAGAUAGGAAGAGCGCGCCUGGGGAAAUCCAUCUUCCCAUCUC